CCUACGGGAGGCAGCAGUGAGGAAUAUUGGUCAAUGGGCGCGAGCCUGAACCAGCCAAGUCGCGUGAAGGAUGACUGCCCUACGGGUUGUAAACUUCUUUUAUAAAGGAAUAAAGUGAGGCACGUGUGCCUUUAUGUAUGUACUUUAUGAAUAAGGAUCGGCUAACUCCGUGCCAGCAGCCGCGGUAAUACGGAGGAUCCGAGCGUUAUCCGGAUUUAUUGGGUUUAAAGGGAGCGUAGAUGGGUUGUUAAGUCAGUGGUGAAAGUUUGCGGCUCAACCGUAAAAUUGCAAUUGAUACUGGCAGUCUUGAGUACAGUUGAGGUAGGCGGAAUUCGUGGUGUAGCGGUGAAAUGCUUAGAUAUCACGAAGAACUCCGAUUGCGAAGGCAGCUUACUAAACUGCCACUGACAUUGAUGCUCGAAAGUGUGGGUAUCAAACAGGAUUAGAUACCCGAGUAGUC
rnacentral:rRNA from 1 species